GCCUUCAUGGUGUAGUGGUCAGCACGCUCGACGCGUAACCGAGAGGUCCGUGGUUCGAUUCCUGGCAAAGGCC
rnacentral:tRNA from 1 species